rnacentral:misc_RNA from 1 species
UCCGGUUUGUCACCGGCAGUCCCAUUAGAGUGCCCAACUGAAUGUGGCAACUAAUGGCAAGGGUUGCGCUCGUUGCGGGACUUAACCCAACAUCUCACGACACGAGCUGACGACAGCCAUGCAGCACCUGUGUUACGGUUCUCUUUCGAGCACUCCUCCAUCUCUGGAGGAUUCCGUACAUGUCAAAGGUGGGGAUGAGUCUCCUU